AGACGUUUUUGUAAAAAAAGACCUGGCCACGGGUCCCUUCGCCAUCCACUCUUGUUUCACAAACACCGCUCUAGCUCAGCACCCGUUGAUCACACAGACUAAUGAUUGGCACCAACAGAUGGAGAAGAAAUAGACAAAUCAAAAGGAUAUAGCUCAAACACACUAUGUUUAUAAGGGGUUACAAGUCCAAAACUUGCCGGCGUCGCGGUGGGACUCAUUGGGUUAAUAUGUUAUUAACAUUUAAUCUGUGUCAGAAAAAUCAAGAAUUUUCUCACUACAUGAAAUUCAAGCGCUUCUGCAUCUCACCGGCAGAAACGGGCCAUCUACUUUUCCUGGUUGUGAGUAAACCACAAUAUCCAGAAUUCAUAUCGAUUUCAGAACGUAGUACCGCCCCUGUCAAGGUGGAUCCAGUUGAGAAUCGUUGUCAACAGAGUCCGAUCCCAUCAACAUCUGCAGCGGCAUCAAGCUUACCACCAGGAACUAGUGUAAGUCACAAAAUCUUUCCAUGACUUUUUGACUUUUUGUCAUAUUUGUUGUGUUUAUAAGUAGGGUACAACUUCUACUGUAGUCGUAUACGACCUAUUGGAUGAAAGCUUUCGGCCGAGAACAAGCUCAAGCUUAACAUCAUCUGACUCAGAAGAGCCAAAGUGUAUUGUCCAUGAGUCCAAGGUCAUGGAGCUCAUGAAGUUCUGCCAUAUCAGCAGCCAUUGCACAACGCAAGACGAGGUUCACUAGCUGAAGAACGUUCAGGACCCUGUCUGGAACAUUCAGCCAACCAGUGGCGUAAAGUACUUAAACCAGUGGCGUAAAGUACUUAAACCAGUGGCGUAAAGUACUUAAACCAGUGGCGUAAAGUACUUAAACCAGUGGCGUAAAGUACUUAAACCAGUGGCGUAAAGUACUUAAGUAGAACAACUUUAAAGUACUACUUAAGUAGUUUUUUGGUGUGUCUGUAUUUUACCUUUCUAUUUAUAUUUUUGACAACUUUUACUUCACUACAUUCCUAAAGAAAAUGUACUUUUUACCCCGUACAUUUUCCUUGACACCCAAAAGUACUCGUUAUACUGUAUUUUGAAUGCUUAGCAUGACAGCAAAAUGGUCCAAUUCACACACUUAUCAAUAAAAACAUCCCUGGUCGUCCCUACUCUCUCUGAUCUGGCAGACUCACUAACGCUUCGAUCACACCGACAGCAUCAUUGCAUUUUGGUACACCAGAAUUACAUACAUUUUCAAUGAAACGAUGUCUUUGCCUUGCAGCAUUGCGUUGCAAAGGCAGUUGGAGUGCGUUCGGUGUGGUGCAUAUGUUGGAUUUAUUGAACGUAUGUGUCAAUCUAUGCAUAGAUGGCUUGACAGAAAUGGUAGCAGAAGGUGAAUGUUGAACUUUUGUUGCAUACAUAUCCAGAUGCUGCGUGCUAUUUUGCGCAAUGACGCUGUCGGUGUGUUUGAAGCGUAAAUGCGCAUGCUUCAUUUGUAAAUGUCUGAGUAUUGGAGUGUGCCCCUGGCUAUCCGUAAAAUAAAAAAUUCAAACAUGAAAAUUGUGCCGUCUCGGUUUGCUUAAUAUGAGCCAUUUGAUAUGAUUUUUACUUUACCUUUGAUACUUAAGUAUAUUUUUUCAAUUACAUUUACUUUUGAAAACCAAAUACUUUUAGUCUUUGCAAUGAACUGCAAUGUUGCUGGGUUUUUCAUGCUCAACAGUUUCCUGUGUGUAUCAAGAAUGGUCCACCAUCCAUAGGACACAACUGUGGGAAGCCAUGGAGUCAGCAUGGGCCAGCAUCCCUGUGGAAUGCUUUCGACACCUUGUAGGGUCCAUGCCCAACAAACUGAGUCUGUUAUGAGGGCAAAAUGGGGUGCAACUCAAUAUUAGGAAGGUGUGCCUAAUGUUUUUGUACACUCAGUGUAUAGCCUAGUUGAUUUAAGGAUGUUUAAAUGUUUGAGUUGAAAUGGAGCUGAAUAGUGGAGGCAGUGCUCCUGUUGUCUUUGCUGACUUGUGGUAACUCUCUGUGGUUCUAAAUCAGUAGUUGUUUAGUAAACUGUCAGAAACAUUAACUUGUUUGACCAUGCUGUAAUUGUUUGUUAAAUUAGUUUACUAUAAAUCAGUAGAGCGAAUAUGUUUACUCUCAGAAAUGGCCCUUCACAUUCCAUGAUCAAUCAAGUCCAACUUAAAGGGGCUUAGACUGAGGAUAGACUAUGAGACAUAGAAACCCCCACGUUCUUCACAUUCCCCAAAUUCAUCCCCCAGUGUUCCCAAAUCUCUUUUUGGAGGUUUGGAGGCCGAUUUGUGUGAGCCCCUGCCAGCAGCACCCGGUCCAUGCAGCGCUUCACAAAAUAUUUGCGCUCGAACGCAGCCAAGUUGACUUCGCCCGGAGCACGACGUUCCCAGAGUUCUGAUAGGGCGUCGGUGAGAGGCUUGGGUUUCAGGCAGCACUGAGCGCCUCUUGUCCCCCCCCAUCUUACACCAAGGGAAUAAUUCUACAUAGGCUUCAAAACAGACAGCCCCGGCGAAAAGAAAAACAGCCACAUGAGAGAGCACUUUGGAUUUCUCUCUGUGGAGGCAGACACUGAUACAGAUACUCUACUAGUAUGGUCUGGUAGUGUGCUGUGGACGAGCAGAGAUGAGAGCAUUCUGGGUAGGGGGCCAGGUGGACGCAGAGCAUAGCAGGAAGAACUUUUUCACUGGAGAGUUUUUCCUUGUUUUGAUUCAUUACAUUUUUGUGCAGCAGUUGCAACCCCACAGUGUAUUGCUUAUUUGGGUUUAUUGCUGUAUUGUUUUAUUAAUUGAGUGCAUUUUCCUCAAAGUGUGCUGCUUUCCAUUUGUUUUGGGACAGUUUUCGUUCAGUUUCAGUGAACUGCCUUCAAAGUGCUCUUCUUCACUCUAUUUUGUUUCGGAGUGUGUUGCUUACCAACCUGGACACAGGGGUAGAUGUAAUAUAGUAAACGUAAAUAUGUCUCACUCCAUUUUGUAUGAUAUGUAACGUUUUGUAUGGUAUGUAUUAAUUUGUGGGUGUCCAUCAUCCAUUUCAUAUGAUAUGUUGCGAAUUACAAUUGGUAUGACAUAUUGUAAUUGGUAAAAUAUGUUACAAAUGUGCAAUACGCAUGAUAUUUUACACAUUUCUAUUUGACGAAGUCCCAGGUCACUUUGAAGAUGCUGAUGGGGAUGGAGGCAGACCGGCAGUGGAUGAAGUACAGGAGGUCUGUGGUAGCUGGAAGGCCGCCAGCCAUUUCACUCCUCCUCCUGGCCCUGCUAUUUGCUUUGAUGAGUUCCAGUCUGGAGUGCAAAGCCCCUUGCCAUUUCCCUCUGAGGCAGAGUGCUUCAAGCUGUUUCUGACAGAGGAGCUGGUGGGAGACAUAGUAGAGGAGACCAAUUGCUAUGCCUGGAGCUACAGGAGAAGAGAGAGCCAGGAGUGAGGGGGAAACUUGCUAAAUGGGUGGCAACCACAAUUUGUGAAAUGUAUACCUUCCUGGUGACAGUCCUUCUCAUGGGAAAAGUAAAGAAGAACUCCCAAAGAGAAUACUGGAGCACAGAUCCUAUGUUUGUAACUCUCUUCUUCGCCAACCUCUUUUCCCAAGACCGCUUCCUAGUUUUGCUGCGAUGCCUGCAUUUUGUCAACAAUGCUACUGCCAACCUAAAUGGCCCGUUACACAAAAUAAGAAACGUUCUUACCAGCCUGACAUCAACAUUUGGUCAGUUCUUUGUGCCAUACAAGGACCUAUUCAUCGAUGAGUCCCUGAUGUUAUGGAAGGGUAGGCUGGCGUUCCGUCAAUAUAUUCCCUCCAAAAGGCACAGGUUUGGGGUCAAGUUCUUUGUCAUGUGCGACGUGAAGACAGGAUUUGUCCGGGACAUUAUAGUUUACCAAGGGUCCACCACUGACAUCCAACAUUAUGAGGCUCUUGGGGUGUCUGGGUCCGUGGUGAUGACCAUGCUGGCUCAUCUCGGCAAGGGACACACUUUGUAUGUGGACAAUUGGUAGAGCAGUCCCACACUCUUCGAGCAUCUGGUCUCCAACAGUACAGGGGCCUGUGGCACAGUCAGGUCAAACAGGAAGGGGAUGCCAGCAUUCAGAUGCAGGAAGAUGCAGAGAGGGGAGGUGGAGUUCAAGGAGAACAGUCAACAGCUGGCAGUAAAGUGGCAUGACAAACGAGACGUCCAUGUCCUCUCUACUGUCCAUACAGCAACCAUGUUGGCCACAGGGAAGGUGGACCACCUGACGGGAGAGUUAAAGAUCAAACCAGACUGUGUGCUUCACUAUAAUGUCAAAAUGGGGGCAGUGGAUAAGGCAGACAUGAUAAACAGCUUUGUGGAAUGCACUCGGAAAAGUACCAAGUGGUAUAAGAAGAUAUUUUUCCAUCUGAUCGACACUGUGGCCCUCAAUGGCUACAUAGUUUACCGCCAACUAACAGGUAAAGUAAUUACCUACCAAAAGUACAGAGAUAACCUCAUGAGAGAGCUUCUGGAGGAGCACCACACCCCUCGGCGCCCAUCCACUGGUGGUCGUCCUGCUGCAGACAAUCCCCUACGGCUCACUGCACGGCAUUUUCCCUGCAAAGUCCCUCAAACCGUUGCUCAAGGUAGUCGAACACGGAGGCACUGCAAAGUUUGCCUGUCUGGCACCAGGAAAAGGAAGCAUAAGAGGUUGACAAAGUAUGUGUUCAGCUUGUGACACACCUCUAUGUGUUUCACCAUGCUUUGUGGAGUACCAUAUGCUCAAGCACUAUUGAGCACAUCUGCAACAAUUACUGACUGACUUACUGACUUGACAGGUGACUUGACCGGCAAUCUGCUGUGAUACUAUGCCUUUAGAGGUGGGUCGGGGGGGGAAUGCAGUUGUUGUUCAAUCACUGCAUGAAUUUGAAAUAUGGGUUAUGCAUAUUCAUAAGUUGUCAGUCUCAUCUUGCAGUUUAUCUUCUCCUCUAGUAAAACAAGUAUUUGUUGUUGUUGUUCGACCACCACCCUUACUUCAAUAAAAUAGAUGACUAUUA